UUCUCACACUACACUAUAAAAUACCUUACAACUCACUCAACCCUUUACCCCUAUUGAAUGAUCCCAUACUUUAUGGAAGACAUUAUGCUUGAACUAGUAACAAGAAUUUGAAAUUCUCCUAAAUAUAAACAUAAGCCGUAAUAGACCAACUAACGGCAAUUAACGCUUACACCUUAUACAACAACCUUCAAGAAAAACCUGUAAAUUAUAACGUUACCCUAACACAAGAAUAUUUUAGGAAAGAUUAAAAGGAAGAGAAGGAACUCGGCAAACCUCAACCCCGCCUGUUUACCAAAAACAUCGCCUCUUGUUUAAACAUAAGAGGUCUAGCCUGCCCAGUGAUUAUUAAACGGCCGCGGUACCCUAACCGUGCUAAGGUAGCACAAUUACUUGUCCUUUAAAUGAGGACCAGAAUGAAUGACAUCACGAGGGUUGUACUGUCUCCUCCCCCCAAUCAGUGAAAUUGACCUCCCCGUGAAAAGGCGGGGAUUUACAUACUAGACGAGAAGACCCCAUGGAGCUUCAGACACCGAACACAUUUAAACUCUUUUCUACAAAUUUAAAAUUCAUGUUUUUAAGUCUUGGGUUGGGGCGACCAUGGAGCAUAAAUUAACCUCCAUAUCGAAAGGACUUUUACUCCUUAUUUAAGAGGGACACCUCUAAAAAAUAGUAUACUAACGCCUUCUGAUCCGGAAUCCGAUCAACGAACCAAGUUACCCUGGGGAUAACAGCGCUAUCCACCUUAAGAGUUCAUAUCGACAGGUGGGUUUACGACCUCGAUGUUGGAUCAGGGCCCCCUAGUGGUGCAGCCGCUACACAAGGUUCGUUUGU
rnacentral:rRNA from 1 species